UCAAACCGAAUGAAGGGCAGUCGCGCGUUGGCCGCUGUCACGGGUAGGUCCUAGUUCUCGAUCAGUUCAUUUUUUUUAGAGGUUAUGUUUAUCAUUACCACAACAACAAGAAAGAACAAAUCAUUCACGAAUGACUUAAUGUCUCAAUUAUCGUCUAUCUUCCCCUCUAUGGUGUUCAUCAACUCUAUUUAAUACUACAUUCAUCAUUCACGUUGCUGUCACUAUUUUCUUCAUCAUCCCUCUACGAACAUCCCGAACGAUCACCUCAUGUGUUUACUCUUAAUUGUCACAUCCUCCAGAGCAAUCAAUUGAAAGGUAGUCAUCCGAGAUGAGCUAUGAAGAAAAAUCUGGGCUGCCUUCUAGCCACUGUUUCCAUUCUUCAGCUAAUUCAACUAACCUUCACCGUCGAAGCUCUACCCCCCAUUGUAAAAAUUGGAGCACUAUUCACUCAUGACCAAAGAAACAGCAGCACCGAGCUGGCCUUCAAAUACGCUGUUUACAAAAUCAACAAAGAAAAAAUUAUUCUACCAAAAACAACUUUAGUCUACGAUAUUCAAUACGUUCCCAAAGAUGACUCUUUUCACGCAUCGAAAAAAGCCUGCCAACAGGUUAAAUUUGGAGUACAGGCUAUCUUUGGUCCGUCCAAUCCAAUUCUGGGACAGCACAUACAUAGCAUUUGCGACGCUCUUGACAUUCCGCACUUGGAAGCCAGGGUUGAUCUGGACACGGAGGCAAAAGAAUUCAGCAUCAAUCUACAUCCCGCACAAACUUUACUCAAUAAUGCCUAUCAAGACAUUAUGGCAUUCUUGAAUUGGACAAAAGUAGCUAUUAUCUACGAAGAAGAUUAUGGUUUAAUUAAACUCCGAGAACUUGCACGAUCUCCAAAAUUAAAGGAUAUCGAAAUUUACAUGAGGCAAGCCGAUCCUGGGACUUACAAACAAAUUUUAACUGAGGCAAAAAGCAAGGAAAUCAGAAAUUUAAUUGUUGAUACAAAACCAAAAAAUAUGCAUCUUUUUUUAAAAAUGGUUCUGGAAUUACAAAUGAAUGAUUUUAAAUAUCACUAUCUGUUUACAACUUUUGAUAUCGAGACUUUUGAUCUGGAAGAUUUCAAAUACAAUUUCGUGAACAUCACUGCCUUUCGAUUGGUCGAUGCGGACGACAAUGUCGUACGAGGAAUUCUUAAAGAUAUGGAACGCUUUCAGCCAGCUGGAAACACGAUACUAAAUAAGUCACGAAUUAUUCAGGCCGAGCCAGCAUUGAUGUAUGACAGUGUUCAGGUGUUUGCUGUGGGUUUGAGAACCCUUGAACAGUCUCAUGCUCUCAGGCCAGCAAAUCUCUCAUGUGAGCUCGAGCAUCCAUGGGACGGAGGACUCUCCCUCAUAAACUACAUCAACUCGGUGGAGAUUAAAGGAAUUUCAGGGCCUAUAGAAUUUAAGGAAGGGCAGAGGAUACAAUUUAAAUUAGAUCUUUUGAAACUCAAACAACAUGCCCUGGUGAAAGUUGGUGAAUGGCAACCUAGUAUUGGUAUCAAUAUCACGGACGCUUCAGCCUUUUUUGAACCAGGACUUACAAACGUUACGUUGGUGGUUAUUACAAUUUUGGAACAACCAUACGUAAUGCUGAAGAGCGGAGGAAAUUUCAGUGGUAACGAGCGUUACGAGGGUUUCUGCAUUGACUUACUCAGAAACAUAGCAGAGCUGGUCGGCUUCACUUACAGGAUCGAACUCGUCCCGGAUGGCAAGUACGGAGUUUACGAUUACGAGACUGGGGAAUGGAAUGGAAUUGUUCGCCAGCUGAUGGACAAGAAAGCAGACUUAGCAGUUGGUUCAAUGACUAUCAACUACGCACGUGAAAGUGUAAUUGACUUUACGAAACCUUUCAUGAAUUUGGGCAUUUCAAUCCUUUUUAAGGUACCAACGAGUCAUCCAGCGAGACUUUUUUCUUUCAUGAAUCCUCUAGCUAUCGAAAUAUGGCUCUACGUUUUGGCUGCAUAUGUUCUCGUUUCUGUAACGAUGUUCGUUGUUGCUCGAUUCAGUCCGUACGAAUGGAACAAUCCACAUCCGUGUCAUGCGGGUCCGGAAAUUGUUGAAAAUCAGUUUUCGUUGUCGAAUAGUUUCUGGUUCACAAUUGGAACACUCAUGCAACAGGGAAGCGACCUUAAUCCCAAGGCAACAAGUACGCGUAUUGUAAGUGGAAUAUGGUGGUUCUUCACGCUGAUUAUUAUUUCAUCGUAUACAGCAAAUCUCGCAGCAUUUUUAACUGUUGAGCGAAUGAUAACUCCAAUAGAAAAUGCAGAAGAUCUGGCAAGUCAAACAGAUAUUUCUUAUGGAACUUUGGAUAGUGGAAGUACAAUGACUUUCUUUCGGGAUUCAAUGAUUGAGACUUAUAAAAAAAUGUGGAGAUUUAUGGAGAAUAAGAAGCCUUCAGUGUUUGUACCAACUUAUGAAGAGGGUAUUCAAAAAGUUCUUCAAGGACAAUAUGCUUUUCUCAUGGAAUCAACAAUGUUGGAUUAUAUAGUUCAGAGAGACUGCAAUCUCACACAAAUUGGAGGACUUCUCGACAGUAAAGGAUAUGGAAUUGCUACGCCAAUGGGGUCUCCUUGGCGCGAUAAAAUAUCCUUAGCUAUUUUAGAACUACAAGAAAAAGGGGAAACUCAGGCACUUUAUGAUCAUUGGUGGAAAAGUAAAGGCGAAACUUGCAUGAGAACUGACAAAGGAAAAGAAAGCAAAGCCAAUGCUUUAGGAGUUGAUAAUAUUGGUGGAGUUUUUGUGGUUCUUCUCUGUGGAUUGGCUUUCGCUGUUCUAAUAGCAAUCUUCGAGUUUUGUUACAAUUCCAAAAAGAACGCACCACCAGAACAGCAACAUUUACCAGCACCACCUCCUACGUGCUCGGGUUCCUUACAAGGUCUACCUCAAAAUGUGCAACAGCAACCGCAAAGUCACCAUCAACAAGAAUCACUUUGUGCAGAAAUGGCACGUGAAUUAUGUCGCGCUCUGCGUUGUCGUGCACCCUCUCGCAGAAGAAGAGCCUGCGAGAAAUGUUCAACUCACGUCAUAAGUUAUCAUCGCUCAGACAAUCCUACACCGACUCCCAUAAAUGGGAUUAGAACACAGACAACCGACUUGGGAGUUCCGGUAGAAAUGUCACCACAUAUACAUAUGCAUCAUCAUCAUCAUCAUCAUCCAUCUCAAGACUACGAUGGAAAUUAGUAUCAAGAAAAUUUUUUUGUUUUAAUAAAAAAAAAAUGCGCUACGUAAUAUAAAUUAUUUCUGAAGAAAAAGAUGAAAAUUCUAGCACAGUUCUAUAAAAAAAAUGCCUGAAAGUAAAUUUAUCUGAAAUAUUUAUAAUUUUAAAGAGCACAUUUAGUCAGGUAUAGUCAACAAGUCAUUUAAUAAUUUAAAGUAUAUAAAUAUAUGUAUAGUUAAUUCCGAUUUCGAUCCGUCCUUUUUAAGAGAGAAAAAGAAAAAAAACCAUUUGUGGAACAAUUGAGUUACAUAUUAUACGUAAUAAAAGGGCUUUCAAAUUUCACAUCUGUAAAUGAGCUGAUACUCAUUAACAAAACCACAUAUAUUAUUUGCAAUUUGUUUUACAAUUAAUUAAAAAAAAAUGACACAAUCAUAUAGAAUUCUAAAUUUGAUAAUUUCAUACUUUACAUAAUUAGAAGACUUUAAAAAAUUAAAUGAACCAAUAAAAUUCAAAUUAAAGAAAAAAUUUCAAUUUUUUUAAUUUCAAAUGUAAAUGUAAAAACUUUUUAUAUAUUUUAAUGAAAUAUCAUGCCCUUAGCAAAAUAUGUUUGAAAAAAAAAUUUGCUUAAAAAUUGUAUUUAUUUGUAGUUCAAAUUAAAUUACGCUCAAUAAUAAUAUAUAUUAAUUUUUUAAAAAAUGUCAUUUUAAUUUUAACUCGCACUAAACAAUAAGCGUUGUAAAUAUCUUUAGAAUAUAAGGAAAGCGUAGGAAAUAUAUUGAUGCAAUUCUGAUACUAAUGCUUUAAAAAAAAGGAUAAAUUAAAAAGGCAUUCAAAAUUUUCAUCUUUGAAAAAUUUAAUCUCUUAAUUAUUUGAAAUUUAAAUUGUUUUCACAGAUUCAAAAAAUUCAUAUCAAUUGCAUCCUGUCCUCGCAAGUUUCUUUUUAAUAAAACAAAUUUAAAAUCACAAAUAUAAUAUGAUAAUCUUAAUUAUUGUUCUUCGAUAAUAAAAAAAAAAUGCCUGUAAGUAAUUAUUAAAAAGUACGAAUUUUGAUGUUUGACGUUAUAUUUUAUGUAUGUAUCUUGUGAAAAUUAUAAUUCUGAAUAAAUGUGAAAACCUUAACAGAAAUGUGUCUUCAUGUAAAGGGGUAUAAAACUAUAGUAUAAAAUUACCUACUGUUGGUAAUGUGGGAAUCUACCUUAUCAUCAGUAGGUUACAGGAGAAUGCUGCGUGCGCAAUGUCGUUUGUACGUCAAUUAGCAGAAAUUGCAAUUGUUUAUACUCGGAAAUUAUUAAAAUUGAAUAAGUUAAGAGCAUUUGAACCUUCGUGACGUCACA